rnacentral:lncRNA from 1 species
GGGGCAGGCAGCGCAUCAUCGUCCGGGGCGCCAUCGCGCCAGCCCGAUCUCCCGGAGCCAGCGGGUCGCAUUCAAUCGCUGCUCGGCUGAUCGGAGGCGACAGGGAGCCACACGGCAAAGGUCACUCCGCGGCGCCCCGAGCGGGAAGGCGCAGCGCUGGGGACGCGCGGCGGCGGAGACGAGAGCCGGGAAGGCUCGCCUCCGCUGCCCUUUCGCCCCUUCCCUUCUCCCUGCGCCGUCCUCCCGCGGCCUGGCUGUGCCCGGGCCGGAAGGUCGCCGGGGCGCGGCGCCGGGUCCGGCUGCAGCAGCAGGAGCGCGGACGGCGGGCGGCUGGCGAGCAGGGCUUCCGGCCGAUGAGAACGCGGCCUGCCGCCCGCGGGUCCUUCUGCGAGCCAGCGAGGGAGGAAGCUGUGUCCGUAGCCGGAUUCGGAGGCACAAGAAGGGAUGGGCAAGCGGAAGGAACCCUGGCAAAGACCCCGAGAUGCCCCGGCCACUAGGCAGGCUGAUGCCCCGUCUGGAUAUAGCGCCAUUAUGUCUGCACUGUGGUGGGAUCGCCACUCGCAUCUGUGUCGGGAUCGCCACUCGCAUCUGUGUCAACCCCACCGCAGCCCUGCUGCAUCCCCUAAAUCCCACUGCAGCCUGUUGCUGGAAAACCCCACUGCGGGGGCGGAUUUUCCCGAAACGGCCCUAUAACUUGCCAUCUGGAGGGAGCUUGCCAACCUGGAAGUGUCACCGCGCCUGUGCGUGGGCUGAAAGAGAGAGCCACACAUGUGAGGUGGUCACGAUCCUGCAACUUUGGCGUGUGUUGUGCCGGCAAAAUGCCCAGAUGCGCCUGCCANUAAAACGCGCGCGGAAAGAGCUGCCCCUCCCCCACACACACGCUGUCUGGGCAACAACAAGCAACAAUUCCAGAAGGACUGUACUCCAGACUAUGGCCUGUUAGNGGUAUAUUGGACCCGUGUCUGGAGCCGACCUGAGGUUUUUUUUAAAAACACGCACAGAAUGCUGCAUAAACACGCAGCCUCAGUGGCCAUCCAGACCCCAGCUGGUCAGCUGUGCCUCACUGAGGGCCCUUCGGUUACUGAGGCUGUGGGCAAAAAGCCAGGCUUGCUUCCCUUGCCACUCACGCAUCUCUGAUUUGUGUGUCCAAGAGCAGAGGGCGGCGGAGAGGGGAAGCAGGGUGGCCUGGGCCNCAGGUCAUCUGGUCCGCCUCUGAAGGGCAGCCNCUCNCGUCCUGCUGGGGGGCUUCCUGGCACAGCUGGUGGGCCACUGUGGGGGCAGACUGCCACAGGUCUGGUUGUCCUUACGACAGGGUGCCUAGUGAGGCCUUGCUGAGGGGGUGG